AGCCCUGAGGUGUAUUACAUAUUAGAUUGCAAAUCUAGAGAAGUAGAUUAUCGUCUACCGGGGCUU
rnacentral:tRNA from 1 species